UACAGAGGUCCCAAGCGUUGUUCGGAUUCAUUGGGCGUAAAGGGUGCGUAGGCGGCGCGGUAAGUCGGGUGUGAAAUCUCGGGGCUUAACUCCGAAACUGCAUUCGAUACUGCCGUGCUUGAGGACUGGAGAGGAGACUGGAAUUUACGGUGUAGCGGUGAAAUGCGUAGAUAUCUGCAGGAACACCCGUGGCGAAAGCGGCGCGCUGGACCACUACUGACGCUGAGGAACGAAAGCUAGGGGAGCAAACAGG
rnacentral:rRNA from 1 species